UACGUAGGGAGCAAGCGUUGUUCGGAUUUACUGGGCGUAAAGGGCGCAUAGGCGGCGCGGUAAGUCACUUGUGAAAUCUCUGAGCUUAACUCAGAACGGCCAAGUGAUACUGCAGUGCUAGAGUGCAGAAGGGGCAAUCGGAAUUCUUGGUGUAGCGGUGAAAUGCGUAGAUAUCAAGAGGAACACCUGAGGUGAAGACGGGUUGCUAGGCUGACACUGACGCUGAGGCGCGAAAGCCAGGGGAGCAAACGGG
rnacentral:rRNA from 1 species